rnacentral:rRNA from 1 species
CUUGGUUGAUCCUGCCACUAGUCAUAUGCUUGUCUCAAAGAUUAAGCCAUGCAUUUGUAAGUAUGAACAAAUUCAGACUGUCAAACUGUGAAUGGCACAUUAAAUCAUUUAUAAUUUGUUUGAUGGUAUUUACUACUCGGAUAACCGUAGUAAUUCUAUAUCUAAUACGUGCAACAAACCCCGACUUCUGGAAGGGAUGCAUUUUUUAGAUAAAAGGUUGACACGGGCUCUACCCAUUGCUGCAAUGAUUCAUGAUAACUCGACGGAUCGUACGACCAUCGUGCCUACCAUGGUGGUGAUGGGUGAUGGAGAAAUUAGAGCAAAGGAAGGCAGCAGGCGCGCAAAUUCCCUAAUCCUGACAUGGGGAGGUAGUGACAAUAAAUAACAAUACCAGGAUCAAUGAGUCUGGUAAUUGGAAUGAGUACAAUCUAAAUCCCUUAAUGAGGAUCCAUUGGAGGGAGAGUCUGGUGCCAGCAGCCAUGGUAAUUCCAGCUCCAGUAGCGUAUAUUUAAGUUGUAGCAGUUAAAAAGCUUGAAUUUUGACUUUGGGAUUGGCCGGCCGGUCCGCCUUUGGUGUGCAUUGGUCGUCUCAUCCGUUCUGUCGGCGAUGCGCUCUUGGGCUUAACUGGCCGGGUCGUGCAUCCGACGCUGUUACUUUGAAGAAAUUAGAGUUAUUAAAGCUAGCCUACGCUCUGUAUACAUUUGUAUGGGAUAACAUUAUAGGAUUUCAGUCCUAUUACGUUGUCCUUCAGGAUCGGAGUAAUGACUAACAGGGAUAGUCGGAGGCAUUUGUAUUUCAUAGUCAGAGGUGAAAUUAUUGGAUUUAUGAAAUACGAACAACUACGAAAGUAUUUUCCAAGGAUGUUUACAUUAAUCAAGAAUGAAAGUUGGGGCUCGAAGGAGAUCAAAUACCAUCCUAGUCACAAUUAUAAACGAUGCCGACCAGGGAUCGGAGGAUGUUGCUUUUUGGACUCCACCGGCACCUUAUGAGAAAUCAAAGUUUUUGGGUUCCGAGGGUAGUAUGGUCGCAAGCCUGAAACUUAAAAGAAUUGACGGAAGGGCACCACCAGGAGUGGAGCCUGCGGCUUAAUUUGACUCAACACGGGGAAACUUACCAGGUUUAGACACAGUAAGGAUUGACAGAAUGAGAGAUCUUUGUUGAUUCCAUGGGUGGUGGUGCAUGGACGUUCUUCGUUGGUGAAGCAAUUUUUCUGGUUAAUUCUGUUAAUGAACGAUACCAAAGCCUACUAACUAUUUAUGCGGAGGUAUCCCUU